rnacentral:rRNA from 1 species
GAUGAACGCUGGCGGCGUGCCUAAUACAUGCAAGUCGAGCGAACAGACGAGGAGCUUGCUCCUCUGACGUUAGCGGCGGACGGGUGAGUAACACGUGGAUAACUUACCUAUAAGACUGGGAUAACUUCGGGAAACCGGAGCUAAUACCGGAUAAUAUAUUGAACCGCAUGGUUCAAUAGUGAAAGACGGUUUUGCUGUCACUUAUAGAUGGAUCCGCGCCGCAUUAGCUAGUUGGUAAGGUAACGGCUUACCAAGGCAACGAUGCGUAGCCGACCUGAGAGGGUGAUCGGCCACACUGGAACUGAGACACGGUCCAGACUCCUACGGGAGGCAGCAGUAGGGAACCUUCCGCAAUGGGCGAAAGCCUGACGGAGCAACGCCGCGUGAGUGAUGAAGGUCUUCGGAUCGUAAAACUCUGUUAUUAGGGAAGAACAAAUGUGUAAGUAACUAUGCACGUCUUGACGGUACCUAAUCAGAAAGCCACGGCUAACUACGUG